UACAUGGUACACAGCGGUAAACAUGAGGUUAAAAAUACGCGAAGUAACAUUCAAACCGGGCUUUUAAAAGAAUCAAUUCGAUGUUUAAGUUUUUAAAAACAAAACUUUAAAGAAGCCAAGAUGAGACGUUCUUUGCUCAAAGCAACAGUAACUUGUGUGUUGGAAAUGUUAGCAGCUAGCAAGUGUCUCUCUGCUAUUCUAAAUGAUACACAGACGAUCUUUUGUUGUUUAAAAGCUCAUUGCUUUAGUGCUGGUAGAUGCUGCUUAUUUUUCAAGACGGUUUUAAUAGCUUUAUAUUGAUUUGUAACAAAGCCAGCUUCACUUUGAGAGAACCUAGAUGCUAAUUGUAAAGAAGCUUGGAGUCAUAAUAUAUUUUAACAUAAUAUGUUUGCUGUUCUUCAUCUUUUUAAAUAUUAUGUCUAUCCAUGUUUGUGUUUACAGAGGUCAUGUACACUGUGGUCAACUUUGUGGACGCUGAAGAGGUUUCUGGGUAAAGAUGAUAGAAAUAUAAUGAAGUAACAGUGGAAGCUAAAACAUCAGACUGAUCCAGACAAGAAAUUGAUGUCACUGCAAUCUGGCCAAAAUGAUACAACUAUAUUGAAGUAGCCUACUGUAAUGAAGCUGCAGAACUUCACAGAGACUCUGAGGACAUCAACACACAAAAUCAAGGCUCCAAAGAGAUGGCUGUCCAGAUGAGGGUGCAUCAACGUUACCUUUGCUGACAAGUAUAUGCUUUACAAUGUAAAACCGUUAACUUAACUCAAACCAUUUAAGGAAAUCGGUUGCCUUAAACCAUUAAGUUUUAAAAAACAUACAUUUGAGUACUGUGAACUUAAGUCUUGUGCAAUUAUGCACUUAUAUUUAGGUAGUGUGAACUUAAAUAUAAGUGCUUAACUGCAUGUGACUCAAUUUGUUUAAGUUCACAGUAAUCAAAUCUAUGCGUUUUAAAACUUGAAUGGUUUAAUGCAACCGGUUUUCUUAAAUGUGAGAAAUUACAGUGUUACAGUGAGAAAUGUUUGAAUAAUUCCAAGACAGAUCUCUGUGAUUGAUUCUACACUGCAAAAAAAUCACUUUCUAACACUUAUCUUGUUUUCAGUAGAAAAACUAAAAAUUCUUAAAUCAAGAUGCAUUUUCUUGAUGAGCAAAAUUACCUUAGAAAAUAUGUCUAGUUUUUAGACAAAAAUAUACAAUUUAAGAUAAUUUGUGCCUAAACAAGAAAAAAUAUCUAACAAUAAGGUGAGAAAAUUGUGUUUUAAUUAAGUUUUUAAGAAAAAAGAAAACUUAAGAUUUUUUUCUCACACUAUUGGCAGAUAUUUUUGCUUGUUUUAAGCACAAAUUCACUUAGUGUGUGUGUGUGUGUAUUAUUUAUUUAAAUAAUAUUUCUACUGAAAACAAGACAAAAAUACUAUGUAAGAAAGUCAUUUUUUGCAAUGUUGGACUGAUUUCUUAAGAGCAAGAUCAAUAUAGUUGUUGUUCAUUUUAUUUAGAUAUUUACUACAUUACAGUGGCAGCUGGUGACUUCUUUUUUUUGUGAGCACUAUCACUCGAUGCGAAGUUUGUCACAACAUGUAUAUAGCCCGUCAUUUGUGUGGUUCCCAAUUUCAAAAUAUGUGUUCAUUGUGUCGAGUGCAUGUAUGUGCAUCACGUGUUUUGACUAAACACGUGAUGCACGUGGUUUACAUGAAGCAACAAACACAUAUUUUAAAAACACAAGCAACACACAUGACACUCCGAACACUUAUUUUGAAUUUUCAACCCUCGGAUGAGCAGUCACGAGCCGCCACUGUUACAUUACAUUGUACUGCUUUGAAUGUAGUUUUCAUUGUUGCUUUUAUUUUGUUUUAUUUUACUCUAUUUUACUCUAAUAUUGCUUUCUCUGUCUGUAUAUUUAUGAGUUUAAAUGGUAUUGUUUAUGUAUGCAACUUUUAAUAUUUGUGUAUUAUAUUAUUUUGUGAUUGUGACAAUUGUGGAUUGCUCAGUUUUUUAUUAAAUAAACAUUUCAAACUCAA